ensembl:lncRNA
CUACCAGUUCUCCUUUUUCAUCGUGUAAAGUAUAAAACGACUAAUGAGCUGCCUUUUUGGUUUUGGAAGGUACUGGCAGAGACAUCCCCAGGCUGACUUCUAUCACAAGAUACAAAACAGAAGAAAAACUAUUUCAGAGCAAGUGCAAGUAGUAUGAAGAUCCCAUACGUGUGCAAAUUUUUCUGAAGAGGCUCAGGUCCUUCCUUUCCUAAUCCCUCUCCUCCAUGGACAGCUGAGCUGUGUUUGUGCCUGACAGCAAGCAAAUCUGGCAACACAAAUAGCUGUGUUAGCCACAGCUAUUAUAAAGAAAAUUCUGCAAUGUAACCAUCUUGCAGCCAACAUCAAAUAACCCAGGAAAACAAAUGACACAUCUUUCUUGGGUGAUGCUUCUGAUGUUAUCAGUAGGAAAAGCCUUCAAAGAAAAUGAGCAUCAAGCCUGAAACAUUACAUAAUGCCGAGUUGAAAGACAAAGUGUUUUCUGGAAUUCUAAAUUUUUUUAAGCAGCUGCCUUUAAAUGAACACAGCCAUCACUGUUAUAAAAUAUUCAAAGCCUCAUACAUAUCAAACAGACAGAGUUACUAGGGCAAACAAUCUCAUGUAUCAGUUAAACAAACAUUUGGAAUUUUUCCUAAGCCCGCUCUAGGUCCUUAAAAUGCUUCUAGUUUUAAUAGAUUCUAUCUAGUAUCCAUUUGUUUUCUGUUUUUUUGUCUUUUUUGUAAGACAAUUUCCAACUUUGCAGGACCCUGCUGGCUCUCUGGCAGAACAGAUUGGCAUGCAGUCCUGGAAGCCUGAGAUUAAAGGACUUCUCCGUGUUAGGUCAUUAGCCAUUCCACUCACCGUACCAUAGCUCGUUUUCCCAUUCCUAAUUGAUCACUUCAUUGAUCAGACAUUAUGGAGAUGGCUUAGUAACCUAAGCUUUAGCUUUGAAAUGCAGUAGAGAUUGCAAUUACCUGAAAGUCUUCAAGGGUGCCUGCAAUUUUCAGACAGUUGGAGGCUCAGCUAAUCAAAGAUUCUGGCUAAUGGAAAGGAGAGAGA